rnacentral:lncRNA from 1 species
GGCGGGACACCCGCGCUCCGGAGGGCACCGCACACCAGCGCAUCCCGGUGGGAUCCCCAUCCCAGCGCUCCGGCCGCACUGGGACCGGGGGGGACCGCGACCCCCGGGCAAGCGAUAGGCAGCGGGCUCGGAUCCCUGCCGGUCCCGGGGGGCGGCUCAGAGGCAGGAAGCGUCCCGGGGUGGUGGCGGCAGAUUGGCAGAGCCCUGCUCCAAUGGAGCGGCGGCGGCAGCCCGGGGGGGGGGGGGGGGGGGGGGGGGGGGGGGGGGGGGGGGGGGGGGGGGGGGGGGGGGGGGGGGGGGGGGGGGGGGGGGGGGGGGGGGGGGGGGGGGGGGGGGGGGGGGGGGGGGGCGGCUUCGCACCGCCUGCGCUGCCGGCCCCAGCCAGCCCGGUGCGGGCGCCCCGCUCCCGCUCCCGCUCCCGCUCCGCUAGCGCCAUGGACACAUAGCCGCGGCAACACGCAGGAAGGUGGUACGAGACUGGGACAUGGCAAAAAAAUGCUCCUCCUACUCUGGAGUUUGAGUUGGGGGCAUCCAGGAGAAGAAGGACAAGAAGUCUGUCAAGACAUGGUUUGCUUCCAUCUUGCCAGGAUCACUCACUGCGGUCACGUUGGUCACAACAGGUCAGCACAGCUUGGGCUUGCUGCAGUGGGCAUUGGUUGUUGCUGAAAAGGCUUUUGAGGAAUUUUGGAAGAGUCUGGGCAGGGGAAGAUCACGUCCACCUGCUUGUACAUAUUUCCUAAAGUUGGCUUUUGGAGAGGACAAGGAGGCUGGAGGGACCUCAGGAGAUCUGACGUGGUUGGACGUGGGGCUGUCCCAUGCAGGUGGUGAUGGCCUGUGUGCAGGCAAGACUGCAUUGACCAGGAGAAGGGAGGAUGCUGAAAGCACUUUGGAAAUCAGCCUGAGGCUCCCCAGAGGCUGCUCAGCUCUGGUCCAUUCUUCCCAGUAUGAAGACA